GCCGGGCCGCCGCCCCGCCCCGCCCCCGGCCGCGGCGGGGGGCAGCGGGCACAGCGCUCGCGAAGGGCGCGGCGGCGGCUGCCGCCGGGGAAGGGGCGAGGCGGGCGGAGCGGCGGCGCCGGGCCGGGGCCUGUUCGUGCCGCUGUCUGUCACCGCGGAGCCCCGCCAGCCUCAGGCGUGGGGGGGGGGGCGGGGGGGGCGCCCCUCCGCCGCUGCCCGGCCCCGCCCCGCCCCCCGGCGCGGCUCCCGCCAAUCGGGCGAGGCGGGCUGCCCGAGGCGGCGUCACGUGGCGGCGGAGCACGCCCUCCCGCGGCGCUGUUGCCGGGGCUCGCGCUGCUCUGCCCGGCCGCUCUCGCCGGAGAUGACGUUUACCGUAGGAAACGGUCUGAAAGACAGUAUGAGGCGAGGAUGGAAAAAAAUGAAUUUUAGCUGAAACAUUUCAAGAUGGAUGUCCUGAAUUCUUCAACCAUAUUAAUAUCAAAGAAACAUUACUGCCAUAGGAAUGGUAGGUGCAAGAUUUUAUCUCUGCAAGAUGAAUUGUGAUCCACAAGUUUGUGAUAAAGUUUAAAAAAUUUUGGCAGUAUGUUCUUCUACCAUCCACUUAGUUUUUUAUUUUUAUUUUUUUAAACCAAAUGCAGCAGUGAAAAGUUGAUUGCAUUUAGGCUUCUGCCACCUAUUUAAUGUUUGUUUAGUUACUUUAAAUAAACUAGAUUGAGCAAACAGA